UACGUAGGGUGCAAGCGUUGUCCGGAAUUAUUGGGCGUAAAGAGCUCGUAGGCGGUUCGUCGCGUCGCGUGUGAAAAUCCCGGAGCUCAACUCCGGGUCUGCAGUCGAUACGGGCGGACUUGAGUACUGCAGGGGAGACUGGAAUUCCUGGUGUAGCGGUGAAAUGCGCAGAUAUCAGGAGGAACACCGGUGGCGAAGGCGGGUCUCUGGGCAGUAACUGACGCUGAGGAGCGAAAGCGUGGGGAGCGAACAGG
rnacentral:rRNA from 1 species